AUGCCAUGAUGCUGACACUUCCUCAAUACCUCUUUGAAUCUCUCCCAAGCGUCACAUACCGACUCAUCCUCCAACUGUUGAAAAGAAGUAAUCUCAUGGAACUUAGCAU